ensembl:lncRNA
GGAGACCCUCCAGCUCACUCAGCCUUGGGCCAGCAGGUGAGCUGGAGGGCCCAGGGAACAGACUGGGGACUAUGUCCUGCAAGGCUCCAGAGCCCUCACCAAGGCCCUCCACUAGCCAUGGCCCAGGCCUUAAGGAGCAGUGAACCUCUUCCCUCUCCCUAUCUCUGUGACCUAAUAGCAAUGGCCGUCUGCCUGACCUGUGAGACCUGGUCUCCCCGUUUGGGUGACCUGAGGAGACUGAGGACCAGUUGGGUUGGAUGUCUGGUUCCCUCGGGGAUGACAGCUGGGAAGGGUGUGGGAACCUGGCCCUGAAGGAGCUGCCAACUGAGAUCUGCCUCCUCUUAGUCAGGACUGGGACCUUGGAGGGUGAAAGUUGUGCUUUGGGAUCUUGCCCUUUCUAGUCAGGACAGAGAAUACCAUUCAUCUGGUAGAGAUUUACAGGAUCAUCAUUACCUGACUAUGACCAGACCUCAAGAAUGAAGGACCUGACACGGAGAAAUUUGCAACAACUAACCACACCCAUCUGUCACCUUUUGCUUUUAAAGGGACUUCCUGAAAGCUUUCGGUCAUUCUGAAGUUAAGUGAAGACAACAACAACAGCUGCAGCCUUUGUUGAGGUCCAGACUGCCAGCCGCUGAGCAGGCCCCAGCCACGCACUGCAUUCUGUGAGAUGGGCAACUGACCAAUCAGAUGCUCUCACCGGGGGACUGGAACUCUUUAAGUGUCGUCAUGCAGGAAGGCAGUUAUAGCUGAGUCAUCCUGCGAAGGGGAAUUUCCUGGAGCAACUCCUGCUUCAUCCCUACCAGGGUCUGGUAUGAAACUCACACUUCCAGCGUCUGAGCUUGGCCGGUUUCGCCCCAUUGAGCCUCUCAUUGCAGCCAAGUAUUCCUCCUGAAGAAACAGCCUCAGGGUGUGUGGGAUGGAAGAGACUGGCUGGACCUCACCGUGUGUCUACAGUACAGAGCAAAGAGCCUUCACUCCUGCAAGCCUCCAGCCCAGUAAAGGUCUCGUGGGACAUUUUUCACAGCAGGGAAGCAUAAUCCCUGCUGUGGCCACUGUCCUCACCUCACCUUCAUCUUUCUCCCCCUUCCCCAUCAGCCUCACUCCCAAGAGCCCAAUAACCAGUCCCCAGUUGGCCGUUGGUGCUGAAACCUGUACAGAGAUCAUAGAAACAGCAUUACGGCCAAUGCUAAUGUUUAUUUUCUUGCUCCUAGUGAGAUACCAGCCUUUCCUCCACUAAAUUGCUUCACUAUGCUGUACUUGAGACAUGAAAUUUGUCUUUGGUCAUAUUUUCAUCUAGAGCAAAAACAAACUGAUGAAGACCUAGUAUAUAGCACAGGGAACUCUACUCAAUAUUCUGUAAUGGCCUUUGUGGAAAAAGAAUUUUUAAAAAAAGAGUAGGUAUAUGUAUAACUUUGCCAUAUACCUGAAACUAACAC